GACGAACGCUGGCGGCGUGCUUAACACAUGCAAGUCGAACGGAAAGGCCCUGCUUUUGUGGGGUGCUCGAGUGGCGAACGGGUGAGUAACACGUGAGUAACCUGCCCUUGACUUUGGGAUAACUUCAGGAAACUGGGGCUAAUACCGGAUAGGAGCUCCUGCUGCAUGGUGGGGGUUGGAAAGUUUCGGCGGUUGGGGAUGGACUCGCGGCUUAUCUGCUUGUUUGUGGGGUAGUGGCUUACCAAGGCUUUGACGGGUAGUCGGCCUGAGAGGGUGACCGGCCACAUUGGGACUGAGAUACGGACCAGACGCAUACGGGAGGCAGAAGUGGGGAAUAUUGCACAAUGAGCGGAAGCAUGAUGCAGAAACGCCGCGUGCGGGAUGACGGCCUUCGGGUUGUAAACAGAUUUCGCAUGUGACGAAGAGUGAGUGACGGUAAUGGGUAAAGAAGCACCGGCUAACUACGUG
rnacentral:rRNA from 1 species